rnacentral:rRNA from 1 species
UACGUAGGCAGCGAGCGUUGUUCGGAGUUACUGGGCGUAAAGCGUGCGUAGGCGGUGUCUUAAGUUUGUUGUGAAAUCUCCCGGCUUAACCGGGAGGGUGCGGCGAAUACUGAGAUGCUGGAGUGCCGGAGAGGUAAGCGGAAUUCCUGGUGUAGCGGUGAAAUGCGUAGAGUAUCCAGGAGGAACACCGGUGGCGAAGGCGGGUCUCUGG